CCGGGCUUGAACAUCAUCACUGAAUAUGUAAUUGGGUAUAUCUACCCAGGAUACCCAGUUGCCAACAUGUGCUUCAAGGUGUAUGGAUACAUAAGUAUGACACAGGCCGUAACUUUCCUGCAAGACUUUAAACUUGGCCACUAUAUGAAGAUUCCUCCCAGAACAAUGUUCAUGGCACAGAUUGUGGGAACCAUUAUAGCAUGUCUUACAUAUUUGGGCACUGCAUGGUGG
rnacentral:misc_RNA from 1 species